rnacentral:rRNA from 1 species
ACGGAAGGCAGCAGUGGGGAAUAUUGGACAAUGGGCGGAAGCCUGAUCCAGCAACGCCGCGUGAGGGAUGACGGCCUUCGGGUUGUAAACCUCUUUCAGCACAGACGAAGCCUUGUCUUUUUGGGUGGGGUGACGGUAUGUGCAGAAGAAGCACCGGCCAACUACGUGCCAGCAGCCGCGGUAAUACGUAGGGUGCGAGCGUUGUCCGGAAUUAUUGGGCGUAAAGGGCUCGUAGGCGGUUUGUCGCGUCGGGAGUGAAAACACCGGGCUUAACUCGGUGCUUGCUUUCGAUACGGGCAGACUAGAGGUAUGCAGGGGAGAACGGAAUUCCUGGUGUAGCGGUGAAAUGCGCAGAUAUCAGGAGGAACACCGGUGGCGAAGGCGGUUCUCUGGGCAUGACCUGACGCUGAGGAGCGAAAGUGUGGGGAGCGAACAGGAUUAGAUACCCUGGUA